rnacentral:rRNA from 1 species
GUGGGGAAUAUUGGACAAUGGGCGAAAGCCUGAUCCAGCCAUGCCGCGUGUGUGAAGAAGGUCUUCGGAUUGUAAAGCACUUUAAGUUGGGAGGAAGGGCAUUAACCUAAUACGUUGCUACUUUGACGUUACCGACAGAAUAAGCACCGGCUAACUUCGUGCCAGCAGCCGCGGUAAUACGAAGGGUGCAAGCGUUAAUCGGAAUUACUGGGCGUAAAGCGCGCGUAGGUGGUUCAGUAAGUUGGAAGUGAAAUCCCCGGGCUCAACCUGGGAACUGCUUUCAAAACUGCUGAGCUAGAGUACGGUAGAGGGUGGUGGAAUUUCCUGUGUAGCGGUGAAAUGCGUAGAUAUAGGAAGGAACACCAGUGGCGAAGGCGACCACCUGGACUGAUACUGACACUGAGGUGCGAAAGCGUGGGGAGCAAACAGGAUUAGAUACCCUUGUAGUCC